UUACUGCCCCUUCAGCAAAACAGAAACGUAAAAGAGCAGAAAGAUAAAGGUCUGGAGCCCAAAAGGAGGGAAUACCACAUCACUUGGUAUUCCUCCUGACACACACAGUAUUUCCUCCCCCCCAGGAAACUCAGCACACCAGGGUCCAGACAAGGAUGCUGCGAGAGACGUUCUCUGCCCAGAGGCAAUCCUUGGUGCAGUCAAGGGUUGCUGCUUCUCUCUGUGGGAGCAGUGCUGGACAAAAGUUGACUUGCUGCAACUGAGCCCGUUCCUGAUUUCUCCUGGAAACAGCAUGGAAAGAGCCUGGAUUGCUGCUGUUGUUGCCAACCAUUGCAGGAUGGAUUGUUCCCUAACUCAAGAAAACAUCUGGGUAAUUCUAGCAAAGACCCUCCAACAAGAUAACCACUGCACGGCCACGAAGGAGUUUGGCAACCCCCUGUCAUCAUGCCUGGUGGAGAUCCCACUGGCAGGAAGAGACUGUCCCUGUGUGAAUGACAAACUCAAUCCCGUGGACACCUGGGAUGAUUGGCAAGGAUUUUAUCACAUGCAGAAGAGGAGCCCCAAGAACUGGAUUUCUUGGGGUCCUCCAGGGCCCAAUUUCGUAUCCAGUUUUACUGUAGGUUAUCAUAUCAACCUCUUGGAAAAUUUGAAUAUAUUCGUUGUCUCUAUCAGAACAAUGUAAACCCGACUUGAAAAAUUUACUCUGUUGACUGGUGCAAUUACACCAGUGAAACACUAUCCCUGUCCACUUACAAUCGUAGAGUACUCCCCUGGGGGUAUUUCUUACUUUCUGAGAUAGAGCUUGGGCAGGAAUCCUUUUGUGUUUCCCAGGAAGGCCCUGUACUCUUGGCCAGCUUACCACCCUCACCCCAAAUAUCACAUUAAUUCAGAACUGGAAGAAAAAAAAAAAAAAUGCUCAAUUGGCCUGCCAAAAAGGAUUUUAUGCUGAAUUCAACAAAAUUAAUGAUUCCCAGAUUAGUAAUUGGAAUGAAGGCAAGAGAGUCACAGUCUCCAUUUUCCUACCAUGGUUGGCUGUUGCAAAGACCCUUGGUGAGAUUUCUCACCUGGGGUGUUGGCUUGGUAAGCAGGCCAAUGCAACACCUGCAGUCCUCAGUGCCUUUCUGGAAAACAAGGAGAUCACCAGGCAUGCAACCCUUCAAAACAGGGCUGCCAUUGACUUUUUACUGCUUGCCCAUGGCCAUGGAUGCGGGGAUUACGAAGGCAAGUGUUACUUCAGCUUAACAUCACAAAGCAAAUCUACCCACCACAGCAUCCAACACCUGUGGGACAAAAUUGAAGACCUUAAAGUAGAAACUGGAAGCCAGUCAGGAAGGGACAGUGAUACCAGCUGUUUCCAAGAACUGUUAAAGAAACCAGGACUGAUGGGUUGUGUUCAAAACUUUUUUACUAGUGUUUUGUGGAUUUUACUUACUAUUUUUAUUGUUUUUGAUAAUGUUUUCGUGUCUUUUAAAAUUUGUGCAAAGAUCUAUGGGGCAAGCCUUUUUUAUUAAUAAAAAAGGGGAGUUGUGGAGGCUCUGUAGCCAAAGAUGGUGAUAGCAUGGAAGGAAGUCUCCAACAUGUAGAGUGAAAGUAUAAAAGGCUUUCCCCUUGCAUGAAAAUGUAAGGCAAAGGUCUUCCCCCGGAGUUCUUUGCACAGCCAGUUCUAUAUACCCUGUUGGCCUGCUGGCAGUCCCUCCCUUUCUACCUUUUAUGUCUUUCCCCUAGAAAGUUCUCCCUUCUCUGUUCCCCCAUAGACUCCAGUUUGGUACAGUGUUCUGCCCCAUUGUUUGAUGCUGUGUUACCUCUGUGUCCCUAACCCCUCCUAUGCACCACUUUACCCUGUCCCUGUUGCACUCUGACCCUCUGAGCCACCCCCUGGGACCCAUGUGUAACCCUGGACCCUCGUUUGUUCCCUGCACUUGGUCCCUGUUGGUUUCCUCUGGAGUGGUGGCAAAUAAACCCCCUCUGGACGACCAUUCCAAAGCCCCUUUCAUUUUUACUGCUGGGAGCUGAGUGUGUUGGAGUGUGUGGGAGUGUCUGCUGCCUGCCUGAGCAGCUCCUCCCUGGAGACAACUUUCACAAGGUAGCGUCAUGCCACCAUCCGCACGUGACUUUACAUCCAGGGAUGGAGACUCCACCACCUCCCUGGGCAGACAGUUCAAUUUCUUCAUCACUCUUUCAAUAAAAACCUUUUCCCUAA